rnacentral:rRNA from 1 species
GAUGAACGCUGGCGGCGUGCCUAGUACAUGCAAGUCGAGCGAACAGACGAGGAGCUUGCUCCUCUGACGUUAGCGGCGGACGGGUGAGUAACACGUGGAUAACCUACCUAUAAGACUGGGAUAACUUCGGGAAACCGGAGCUAAUACCGGAUAAUAUAUUGAACCGCAUGGUUCAAUAGUGAAAGACGGUUUUGCUGUCACUUAUAGAUGGAUCCGCGCCGCAUUAGCUAGUUGGUAAGGUAACGGCUUACCAAGGCAACGAUGCGUAGCCGACCUGAGAGGGUGAUCGGCCACACUGGAACUGAGACACGGUCCAGACUCCUACGGGAGGCAGCAGUAAGGAAUCUUCCGCAAUGGGCGAAAGCCUGACGGAGCAACGCCGCGUGAGUGAUGAAGGUCUUCGGAUCGUAAAACUCUGUUAUUAGGGAAGAACAAAUGUGUAAGUAACUAUGCACGUCUUGACGGUACCUAAUCAGAAAGCCACGGCUAACUACGUG